rnacentral:misc_RNA from 1 species
AAAAAAAGAGAACUGCAUAAUAAUAUGGUGGAUCAUUUUCCACCUGUUACUUGAAUGAAUGUUGUGUAGAGAAGAAUUUAUGAUAUUUAGAAAAGAUAUAUUUUAUUUGCAUAGCGUUUGUGCUUAUCAAUUAUACAUGUAAAAUCUGAUUAUGUGUUAGAACUUAAGUGAUUACCACUAAAAGCUGAUAAUACAUGCCUGUAUUAAGUCCACUUAUCUAUUUCUGAUACUUGUUAAUUGCUUGCCAGGGAAAAUUUUCGCCUGUCCAUUAUUUUUUUCUGUGUUCUUUAAAUAUUAAUGACCAAAUUGGUUACCUUCCAGCUUCCAGAGUCA